ACUUUUUGGCCAACCCAAUAUUUCGGUAAUGCAGCAGAGCUCGCCGAAAUAUAAUGCCUGUUGAAUCUUGGUGCACUCUCGCAAUGUCCCGCGGUGCGCAUACGUGUCGCAGUCGCAGCAUUCCCGCGUGCACGCGUGCCGAAUAAAGAACACACCCGCAAUUUUGCAUGUACCGCACGCAUCUCUACGGGGUGUACCGAAAAAUAUUAUAUAUUGAAAUAUCAAGAAAUUAUCUUAGGUGAGAUUUGUAGUUGGGAUUUGAAUUCUUGCCUCACUUUUUAGUCUGAAAGCGAGCCAACGUAUUUGUUGAUUAGGAGUUGAUUAGAAUUAGGAUUGAUUUGCAUUUUACAAUAAUAUGUAUUCAACUCAAACUCGAAAUUAAUCAUUUGUCUUAAACAAUCGGUAUGUCACUCGUUAUUAAUGAGAGAAAUCGAUAUUAAUCGACAUUUCAGGAAUUGAGACAUCAUUUUGUGAAAACUAAAACUAUUAAGAAUUUUAGUCGCAUUCCUCAUUUUCAGUUUUUCUCAGAAUUAAACAAAUAUUUCUUUCCCGGCCAUUAAGCCAUAUGAAUUGAUUUCGGAAUUCAAAUUGAGUCAGAGUCACGCGCUCAUGAAUAAUUAAAAUAUUUUUUAACUUUGGUUUUAUAUCGCUCGAGGAAAACACUUAUUUGUGCAAAAGAAAAUAAGAAUUCGUGAGUGAAUAAUAGUUUCUGGACACCAUGUAUGCAAUCUGCACAUUCAGUUCGCAACGUGCCAAUAUGCAACACGAGUAUUCGCGCGCGACGCGCCUUGCCUCCACGCGAAAGUCGCGAAAGGGAAUCACGGAGAAUAACGAUUACGCACAUCGUCGAACGACUAGAAAAGCGUACUUAGUCUUCUUACGAACACAUUCCGCGAUAAAGCAAAUCAAAAUUUCGAUGUAUCUGUGCAGUGUCCUCUACACAAUUUUAAAUACGGUGAAAGUAAGUAGAUUGAAAGAGACUUCGUUUGCCUUGUUGCCAACUUCAUUCGCAACUGAUUCUGAACAGACAAGCGCUUGCGAACGCAAGACCCGCAACUCCAGCUUGGUCGAUUCGCCUUGCCGCUGGCAUCGCGCGAAGCAGCCGUAAAAUUCGCAUAAAGGCAUGCUCCGACCGGUAGAUCGCCAAUGAUAAACCGCCAUGUUGCGCGAAAACGCACGAGCGCGUCGGAUUGUGCGCAGUAAUUCAUCACGUAUAAACGUCAAGUUCGCGCGAGUGGUUCCGCGCGCCCGCGACCAUUUAGACCGAACGCAAGAGCGAGGCGCCGACGUAGCCGCGGUGGCAAGCCUAUUCGGAGGAACGUGCACGAGGCAUACUUGUGAGAAUGCGCCGGUUUCCCGGCGGUGGCGGCCAUCUUGUAUUAGCGUGAUGUCACGGCGUGGCCUACUUCCGAACAGCUCCACGUGCGGGGGUCGUCGACCCGGGGCUCUCUUCUAGUCCCCUUUUGCCUAGCUCUAUCUCGGCCUGUUCCCCUCACCAAACUUUCGAACCGAACGUGUGCGCCUUAAAACGAUCGCCAAUAUAUGAGAAAGCGUUUCCACAUGCCACCGUCACUUUCAAAUGUGGUAACGACGUCCGCUCCUACGCACCUGCGAGUGUCCAAUAAGAGCGUCUUACGUAAUCGAGGAAUCGACCGUUGGAAGCAUAGACGAGCUGAAUUGUGCUACGCGUGAGUAUUUAAGCCAGAGACCAUCUAUGUAGAAACCAGAGAUCACCUAUAUAUAUAUAGGUCUAUAUAGGUUUCUAUAGAAACCGAUUUAUAUAUUAUUUGGGAGCAAUAAAUUAACCGCAUACGAGAUGCGAGCAACGCGAUCAACUAAAUUCCCAAUUAGUCAGCGAAAGUCACGACAUUCAAGGCUGAAAGUAUCGUAUGCACGUUAUACAUGAGCGCGUGCCAAAAAGAAUCGCUCAGCAGAUUAAUUUUAGUCUGGAGUUAUGAAUUCUUUUCAUUCGCGAGCUACUUUUGUAUCGUUAUAUUACAUGUAUAAAAUACACACAAUCCAUAAAACAUAUCGCGAACGAUUAUUCCGGCGAGCGCUACUUAUAAAUUAUUAUCUCUGAAAAUAUUUUAAAAAUAAAAAGAGAGAUACUUAUUUGAGAACAUUUCCAUAAUAAUUUAUCAUCUAUAUCUGUGCGAAAUCGUCUACUGGCGUCUCGCGAACGGAACAUUCUGGAUCUCACAAUAUAAACGAGAAUAUAAUCUUGGCGAUUAAGAUCAAAGGGCGAAUCGAGUGAAGUAAGAUCGAAAGUCAUGCAUCAGUCGGGUCAUCGACCCGUUUCAGGGUUUCUUCCGUUUGCUCGACGGUAAAAGUGGACGAAUAAGACGCAUGUGUGCAGUUGUCUGUCGUCAACUUGGAAAAUCGAGCUAAAUACAACGCACUGCGUGCGUAAGUUAAUGAUACAUUGCGGGUAGACAAUGCGAACGAACAGAAAGAACAAAUUGGAUUAUCAAACAACAGUCCGUGAAACGGAUUUACGAAAAAAUGCGUUACGUCAUAUCCGUGACGCAUAAUAGCUCUUCCUGCCGCACGACAAUUCGUUCUCACCACUUCCGCCGACGAACUAAGCUAAUGGAGAAACAGUUAAUGUCGGCGCUCGUGGAAGAAAUCCAAUUCCAGUCGAAUUUCCAGCGCACUUACUUCGAUCCAGGUCACACUUCGUAAACUAUCUGGCAUGCGCAGUUUCAGGUCAUUGGGUCAAGCUUUCCUCGUCGACCCGACCCUGCUUGAAGAUUCACUUCUCUCAGCUAUACUUCUUUCGACCUAUAUGGUCUGCUUUUCUUUCUUUCAACAUCUUCAAACGUCUAUAAAUAGAACUCCGUACGCUUGUUUUCCUCUCGCAUCAGUACGCUGAUACUUUUGCAUUUCUGUUACAUUUCUUUUCUUAUCUUGACGAUAAUAGCGAUGUAAAAUCUGAGCAGAAAAAGAAACUCUAAUUAUAAUUAAUAUCAUAGGGCUACGUUACGUUGACGCAAUUGACUUUUAAAUCACGGCUGGAAAGUGAAAACCACAAUGUUUGUUGCUCCUUACGAAAUAAUAGUAAUUAUGAAAUAUAUAUGCGUGAAUGCGCGAGCAUGCGCACAGUCAAGCGUCCCUUCCACGAAUUUACGCUACUUCUUUCGAAAUAUUCGAUAUUCCUCCACCGCUAUGGUUAUUUGUUUUACGUUUUGGAUACAAGUUAGAAGGCUGUCUUGAUUUCAUCACUAGCGGGACAAAUUGAGACAACGCUCGCGCAAAUCGAACGACGCCGAUACAAAGUACAUUUACCAAAGUUUGCUUAAAAACGUCCAUAUGUUGUCAUAAAGCACGUAUUAAUAUAAUAAUUAUACACUCAUUGUCAGUGAAGUCGUGGAGUCCAUAGAAACUGCGAAUGAAAAAAAUAUGUGCAUUUCGAUUUUUCUAAAAUUUUAAAAGGAAAGACAUUAUGCAUUGUAAUUCCAUUUUCAUCUACAUACACGUAUGUAUGUAUAUAAUGGCAGGAUAUUUGCGAGAGAGGCAUGUCUUAUUCAUGUCAUACGUAUCUUUGGAUCGUUCAAUUCAGCCAGGCAUUACGAUUCUCCUGAAACCCUCUCUCUCUCCUCUCCACCGCGUUUCUUCCAUCGCAGACUGUGAACAUCCGAGUUGCUUGCGAACAUUAAGACAAUAGCAAACGCGGUUAACGACAAGCGCCAGACAAAAAGAUAAGAGCAACCGCUUUAAAACAAGUCGCUUGAUAAGAGAGGGAGAUGACACGGGUGAGGGGUGAGGUGAGGGGUGUGGAUCUGUGGAUCGUGGGUGAAGAAGGGUGAUGGGGGGGAAAGGUGAAACCAGGGCGCAAGUAUUGAUCCCGCGCUGGGGCGGUUGACACAUUUACUAAAAGAUACGCGUGAUCUAGUUUUGGCAGAAGAUAGCGCAAGCUAGAGCACAAAGGAAGCAUCUAGACAUCAACGUAACUGGUCAUUAACCAAGUCAAUAGAUUAAUAAACCUUUUCUGGAACGGUAGUGUAGCUAUAAGUGAAUUUGAGUAUAAAUCUGUUUCUGAAAACAAUCUCCAAAAUCAUCUUUACUGAUUUCUGUUAGAUGUAGCAAAACUAGUGAUCAAGCAAUUCAGACAGAAUGGAUGCCUAAUUAAUAAUCUUAGAGGUACCCAACUUCAGCGUACAGCUCCAAUCAUCAUUUUAGAACAUAUUGAGAGAUAUGUGGAAUUCAUACGUUUCUUUUAGAGAAAGGAGCAUAAUUGAAUUGUGUGUGUGAUGUCACUUCAGUACGGAAGUCUCUAUUAUUCCACUGGGAAAUGCGAAAUAUGGGUUUCUCAUCUAUAUAGCGGAUAAAGCUCCGCUGCUGGUUUCGGGACCACUGCCAAAUGGGUCAGAGCUCGUAUUGAGCUGGUACUGCUGACUUCACUCUCCCUCACUGCUCCUCUCCUCCUACCAUUCCUCCACCGGAGAUCUAGAGCGAUUCUAGAGCACGGCGCCGCCGACAGAGACAAACUAUCGCGCCAUCACUCGCGGUUGCCUUACGUCGUCCUGCGCUGUCAUAUUGCUUCACGAUAUAAUGUAGCGGAUAUAAACGCGUCGUGUAGAUUGAUUAAUUACGCAGUCUCGGGUGUAAUAGUUGUAUCUAGAUAAGCAAGGAAGAGGAGAAAGAGGGAAGGAACAAACAAUAAAUUCUGGAAAGGCAAAAAAUUAAGGUCAGUGGAUAUUAUAGCACGAUAUAAAAUUAAGCUGAAAUCGCAUUCCGAUAUUCCGAUGAUAUUUUAUUAGCGUUUUAUCGGAUCAGACUAAUUAUUGAAUUUAUAAAUAUGCUGCAUGAAAGGGAAAAGUUUUGCAAUUGAAAACCAUUUCACCUGUAAUUCCGUUUAUUCGGCCUUGCUUGCCACACAUGUAACGCCCUUCGAAUUCUUUGUCAUCCGUCUUCUUGCUCUGGUGCAUUGUGUUGUGCCCCGACGCGAUAUAGAGACGCGAGGCUAGAAUACCGUUUGAUCAAUACUCCGCAGGCUCGUCACAGUCAUCGCGUCCUCGUCUUCGCACACAUUGAUGGGAUGAGGGAAAACGAAACGGUAGGAUACGAGCUGUCAAACAUGAGAAACGAUUAAUGACGAUAAUGACAACCUGAGUAACGCUUAUAAUGGUUGGCUUUUCGAUUAAAUGAAAACUGUAGCUUCCGAGAAAUAGAUUGUUCGCUCACCUUGACAGUACGGGUCGAUCAGUCGCGGCGUUAUUUCAGAUUUUUAUUGGUGAAGUUGCUGAUACCCUAGAAAAGCUGCGACUGUUUGGUUCAUCGAAUGUAGCAUGUGGCGUGGGACACGUGCCGAAAGGUCGAUGCCCCUUUUACCAGAUUUUAUUUGAUUCCCUUCGCUCUCAUCAUCCCGCGGGCAUACUCAUUCAUUUCUGCUGAAACUUCUUUGUCGACAUGUAGAAAAAUAAAUGUAUUUAUAUCACAGCAACAUCAUAGAGAAGCUAGCAGGUCUUUAGGGGAACUUCAAAUACAGUAAUGUAGUCCAGCGGACUGUUCGAUAAUGUUUCCCUUGUUGCUAUGUUUAUCAUAACAUUAAUGAUAAUAGUUAUUGUACACGCACUGCAUACAUCGACAUACUAGAAAAUAAUUUAUAUUGUUUGUUCUUCAUAAUUUUAACUUGGAAUAUACGUGUGUGUAUUAAUAUACAAGUUGAUUACUGAAUAUACCGUGGAAAAAAAAUUACUACAUGCCGAUGCUUAAAAAUAAAAUUCUGUAUUCGCAGCUGCAUUCAAUAUGUUUCUCUGUAAUAAAAUAAAAAAGAUAAUUUUUGUUAUGUCCAUAAUAAUUCAGAAUAUAAUUUACUACAUGGGAGAUGCUUAAUUCAAUAUACUUUGGCUGCGCGUACCAAAAUCGUAUAAACAGUUUGCUAUUAAUAGGAACUAGUCAUACCUAUUUAUCUCACAUCAGCAUCAAGUGUAUCUGGCUGAUUACCCAGCAUUGGUCUUGUGAAAAUUUUGAACAUAAUACUUGGAUAUUACAACACUUGAUACUCUAAUCGAUUUUCUGUGACGAUCUUUCAAGGAUAGAUCGGUUCUUAUAAACAAGCAUUAUAAUCUACUUGCUAAAGAAUCGAGGGAUGAAACGAUUGAUGACAUGCUAUCAGAAAUUCAAGAUUAGAUUUACAGAUUGGUCCUUCUCGAGUUACGCACGUAUUUAUAGUUUGAUUAUAUUAAUAAUGAAUUUAUCAUGAGGAGUUAUCAUCUCAUUCGGGGAAGCCGAUGAGUGCACCCCAGGGAUUCUCGUUAUUCGGUUCACUCCUUUGUUACACAACCGGCCCUCUCAGCAACUUGGCCAACUAUCGACCCCACUAGGAGCUUGGCCCCCUCCCUUCAUUUUCUUUCGUCUUCUCACCGUUGCUCCCUCUUCUUUCUUUCUCUUUCUCGUUUUCCCCCGGUCCCACCAUGAUUCCUAAACAUGUCUCUUUUCACUGUUUCUACCGUUCGCCCAUUCUAUAGCCCCGUUUCUUUCUAUUUCUCUCCCUUCUCUUCUGUCACUUUCAAUUCUGACCCCUCCAUUCCUUGCUUCUCUCCUUGUCACGAUCCCGUCGACCUCUCUAUUCUCACCAACAUCGAUUCCACUCUUGCUUUAUCUAUUCAUCACUCUCUCUUUUUCUAUUUACCCCCUCUCCUUACCAUAUUUCUUCCAUCCUUCUCGUAUUACCGCGUACUUUUUAUUUGUCACUAUUCUUUCUUCAUUGGAUCGAUUUUUUCGCCAUUGCUACUUUUCUUUUUCGUUUCUUUCGCACUCUCUAAAUUUCCUCUAUUUCUCUUACGCUUGUAUCUGAGUUCAAGAAAGUGGGGGGCCACGUGCUCCAAGUACCUUAGUCACGCGAGGUAGGACACGUGGUAGGUACGUUGUACGAAGGCACAUAGGCGCGGAAAGACGCGUAUUUUCUAUGCAAAUUGAACGAGAUAUCGAGCAAAAUUAAUUAGGUACACUUGCUUUCAGAAAUAAUUAAUUCGUUCUCUGUAUGAAAAAAUUGUCAAAGAAAAUGAUAAUUAAGAAGAGAGAAUUAUCUUUGUAUGUACUGCAUAAAAUGUUAUACUUAUACAUACUUUAAUCUUAAAACAAGAAUUUGAUCGAUUCGGUCAAACGAUUUGUAGAUAAAAAACCCGUCGAUUUGGAAUGGAUUUGAGAAAUAUCUUGCGUUGCGAAAUCGCGACGACAUUGCGAGUCGGGCAUUCCGAUUACAGCAUUCCGCGAGGAAGAACACGUUGCCGAUAAGGAACGAAAGAAUACGGAGCGAAAGGAAGGGAUAAGGCAGCAGAGAGGAGCGGUGGAGUUGAGCGAGGGUUUAUACGAGUUGUUGCUUACGUAAGCACGCAUGUAGAUAAGAACGUGCUUAUCUGAAGAACGUCGCCAUGCGGGCAACCGCGUGCCAAAGUAUGAAAUCGUAAUGGUUACGAUUUUCGACGAGACAAAAUCCAAUUUGCUGUACGAAUAAUUUUAUGAGUCAUAAUAAUUUGAUAAUUAUAUAAGAUUUGAUAACUUUGAAAAUAAAUUUGACAAAUUGUAAUAAGAUUACGUGAAAUAUUUAAUGACACAAAUUAGUCUCGCAUCCUCAGUAUGUAAUUGGAAAUUGAUAAAUAAAGUCCCGGGUUUAAUAAUUUCAUCGGUAUUUUUAACGGUGGAGCAGAGAGAAUAAGAUACGCACGUAAAUUUGCAAUGAUCCGAAGAUAGGAGAGGAACUGUACAGCACCAAGGAGAGAAAUAUCAAGGAGAAACGGGCAAUUGAGUUGAAUACAGAGAUCGAAUCGCGGGACGUAAUAUACGUGUUGCAUAAUUAGCGGCAUAGCUGGAGAUUUAUCUUCAUUGUGCGCUAUCCUUCGCGCAUCGAAAAACAUCCUGCAGAGAAAAUUACUACCCACCUGCCAUCAGUUCGCCUUUUGAGGUACAUGGCUUCAAAAGUCACUCUUUAGACUUUAAAAAUCACUCUUUUUUUGUUUAUUUUUAUUCCAUUUACCAACUUUCGUUUAUUCAAAUUUAUGCUGAUAUUUCCUCGUUUGAGAUUAAUCCAGCUUUCAUUCUUUUUGUGUAUAUAUUCUAGAAUAAUAUCCGCACGAAUAUUAUUUAUAUGCAGAACAUCUCUCUCAAUUUUAUUCGAUGUUACAUAAAACCAGUAUUAACAAUUACGACGAAAAUAUUUUCGUAAAUUCGUAAAUAGAUUAUACCAAAAAGCAAUCAACUAUUUUAAUUCAGUUCCUGAUCACGAUUCAUAAAAUUCCCACGGUGUUUAUGCGCACCUGUUUGUCUAGGAAGUGAACGCUAUAAAUCGUGAGAUUCAUGGUCGUCGUGGCUGGUUGCAUGGCUCCCCCUUGCUUGAUUAACGGCUAUACAAAGUCCGUAUCGACGUAUCAUAAUACGCCCAAACAAUUUAUUAAUAUGUAGUUAUUAAUUGAUUGCACGUAUGCAAUUUUACUACAUAACAUCUAGUUUUUAAUAUCGAUAAUGACUUCAAGUUAACGUACAUUCUUGUCAGCUCGUUUACCGAAUUAAAAAUAAAAUAAAAACUUCAUGCUAUUAUCAUACGUCAAAAAAUAUGAAAGCUGUUUUUUUAUUCUCUUAAAACUUUCUCUUUUUUGAAUAUUUCACAUGUCACACAUAUAUAGACAUCCCAUUUCUCCCUUUCUCUGCAUCUCUCUUUCUGCGUGUACGAUGUAUUAAGAAAUAGGCCGCGCGCUUACGUUCUCUUCUACACGGUUGUCUGCUACACGAGGUAGGGCGAUCCAAUUGGGGUUCGAAUAGCCCAACGUGGUGGCCUCCCCUUUGAGUUCCUGCUGCGAUCAAUACUAACGCUGUAAUGCCAAAGCCAACCCAGACUACUGACUCCGUACCCAGGUCUUCGUGAUACGAGUGUCCUUGACAACCAUAGUGAAUUGCCCUCGCAAAGUCUUGACUGUAGAAUGCCGCAAAAUUUAAAGGCCGCGUCUAAUCUAUCUUAUAGACCCAAUUAUGGCUAACUUUUCCGCAAUAAUAUCGAGUAACCAAUAGUUCAUGAGCUAUAAAUGCUUGAACACAUGAAGAGCAUGCAUAACUCUCCAUCGUGUCCAUGACGCAUUAUAUCAUACAUAGCCCGGUAUAUCAGUCCGCCUUCUCCCGAGGAAGAGGAAAUAAAACUCUGUUCCCCUCCGAUAACCUUUCUCUUUCCGUCGAUUAUCGUCCACGUGCAUUCGCGCGCGCACGCGCGCGAGAAUUCAUUAUGCGUAAAUUACGCAAAAGAAUUAUAAAAAGCGAAAUUUUAACGAGACUUCAAAAGAAGGAAGACGGAAAGAGGAAAACAAAUACUUCGUGGAUAAAAAUGGAAUCUACGAAAAGAUCCGGCGGCGUUACGAGUCUCGGAAUGGACCUUUCCGUGAAUUUCUUACGAGCGUUCGAUCGAAUCCGUCGAAUACAGAGCGGCUCAAAAGAAGGCGGCAGCUUUCACUGCGCCGAACGUUCUCCCGAGACACCCUGUAUGCGUACGCGCACGCGCAUCCAUCAAGCAACGAGAAGCUCCCGUCUGCGAGCGCGCGCGCACACAAAUGCCCAGAUUCAAGCACGAGCACACACGCACACACAUGACCGCAAAGGCGAACAAAGAAAGAGCCCUAGCGACCAGCAAUGCGGCAACGGCGAGCGCCUGCGCGCCGCUCUAUGUGAGUCAAGGACGACACGUGCGGCUACGAACGACCUACUUAUAUCUCCGUCGCUUCGUGCGCGAUCGCCCCGGCGCACGAACUUUCCCGAGAGCAGAAAUAGGACGGCCGGCGUGCCGAGUGUCCCGACGUUUUACGGAGCGGCCUGACCCUUCCCUUCUCCUCUCCUCCGGGUCUUCCCCGCGCCGCGUCAUGGCGCACUGGUUAAUCGACUGAACGCUAUUGCGACCAGACGACCUCACGUUUAACUCUUUCUACGGUCGCAUCAAUACCGUGCUUAACGUAUCUGGUUAACGACACGCAAUUAAUUAUCAUGCAUCAUGUUUGCAUGUACAAAAGCUUUAUUUGUUCCCCGCAAGUUUUGUGAAAUUUUAUCUCGUGACACACGCAUAUAUUUAAAGCCGCGAAUGUGUGAAUAUAUUUUAAAUUUAUAUACACACACAUAAAUCUCUCAUACAUGCACGUAUAUAAAUUUUGUAAGUUAUCUAAUGACUGUAUGAUGCAAAAAUAAGCGGCAGUUUUCGAUUUAUAUCGCUCACAUUUUAAUCAAACUUGAUCAUCAUUGAUUCGAUGCUCAAUGAUUGUCGAACGUUAUGUAAUGCAACGAUAAUGAAGCAUUCUUUUCUUUUCGCCGCCCCGGUGAAACGCGCAUUGUCGAAACACGACUGAUAACGAAAACCUAAAUUCCGCAUGAUGCAACCCGGACAGCAGAAAAAUCUAAAAAGACAUCGCAAAGCUGUCGAAAGAACGUCUUUACGUCUUUCACGCAUCUUUGCGAUGUCUCUUGGAUUUUUCUGCUGUCUGGCAAUUAAUCCGCAAGUGUCGCAUCGCAGGUAGUGAUAUAGGGUAUCCAAGUUAUUCCGAUACUAUGUAUUUUUAUCACGUACAUUGUAAUUUUAUCAUCCGCAUCUUCAAUGUAGUUAAGUUUUAAGUCUUGAGAAAUAGACUUGGAUAAAGUGUCAUAAAUUUUUAAUAAUUAUUAUUUAUUACGGACGUUACUGACACUGGUGUCAUUUAUUUAUUUACUAAUUGUUGGAAUGGGAUGUUGCUAAGUACAGACAUGAUAGAGCGCGAGGUUAGCACAAGGAUCGUCCAGGGAGUGGCGGAAAUCUCGACGGCCGGGAGGACCGGGACCAUCGAGACGCCCUAGAUGCGGAACCAAGCGAGAUCGAUAGAAAAAUGGGUCAAAGGUUCGGCUGCCGCCUUUACCGUAAAUGGUAGUGUUUCGCGGUAGUUUGACAGCACACACAAAAAGGAAAAAACAAAUAGCUAACACAGCAGUUUCUAACUUCUCCUAUUUUAAUUGUAUAUAGAUAGAAAUAGCGCAAUAGUAAGACAAUGAAUUUUUAUAUCAGAAUACGAAAAAUUGUUACUUUUUAUUAUAUAAUCAUGAAAAAAUGCUGCAAUUAAAUUUGCGCGCAAAAAGACUGACGAACUAAAAUCUUUUCAUGUAAAAUAUUUCAAUUUUGUUGAAUUAUACGCAUAAGAUUAAUAUCAAUUUCAUAUUAUUAUAUACCGAAUGUAGCGUUUAUUCACGAACAUAUGAGAUAAUAGAAAAAUCGAUAGAGACUCCGUUUUCGCAGAAAGUUGCAUAGUGUCUCGCAUUAUUCCCUAAUUUUAAUUGCACCACGUGGAAUCGUCUACGGUGCGGUGUUCACGUAGUCAGGUAUAUACGAAUCUUCCGGUGUCAGCCGCAUCGCGACGUACUGCGGCGAUUGGCUCUUCGGGGCCGCGAUAGUUGGAGCCUAAAGGUGGCCCACGCGGCUCGGCCCCGCCGUUUCUUCCCACCCGGGGCAUAAGUAGCGGGUUCCGCGCGCGCUGCCAGCAGUUCCUGUUCGGCUGUCGUCAUGGAAUCGUGCGCUGGCGAGAGUGAAUCCAUCUUCACGCACGUACGUGACGAUGUACGCGCGCCUACGUAGCCGUCGAUGAUGGAAAGGAUGUUACGUAUACGUGCGCCUGCGUAUAUCAGUGUGCGUGCGUGUGCGUGCGUGGAAAGGAAAGAGAGAGGGAGAGCGGGCGAGCAACGGAGAGAAAGAAAUCAAAGAGAGAGACGGAACGCGGGCAAGCCGUCGGUGCGCACGCGGACCAAUCGCGACUCGAGUAGCAACGGCGCCUGCCAAUCGCAGCGGGCAGCGGCGCUCCGCGGGUGCGCGCCAUCGUCACCACCGGAUGCGACCCAUCGCGCCGAAUAGUGGGGAGGAAACCGAGAGUGCGAUGCGGGCCGCGCGUUCUAGCGCAUCCUCGUUCGCCGCAGCUCGCCCACGGGUUCGGUCGCGUUUCGCGGCGGUCUCGACUCGUAGACGUCCGUCCGGUGCCCGACGUUCUCGGACGGCCGUCGCGUGCCCUCUGCUCUUAUCACCGUUCAUCGACGGAAAGCCAGCGGGACAGUAAAAUCGAAUUUUUCCUUUUGAACGUUCGAGGACUCGCGUUCGAACGUUCAAAGGGAAAGCGCGAGUUCCCUAGAUUUUUCGCUCCGGAAGGAUCCAAGAAGACGAGAGGUCCGACGCAGCUCGUUUAACGAAGUUCGAGUCGAUGCACGCGCCCGAGUGGCUCUUCCAGAGGCUGACUCGUCGUUUCGUUUCCAAUCGCAAGAUAUAGGUCGAGCCUCGGCCCGAUAACAAGAGGACUCGGAUCGGAUGAGUCGGUGUGACGAUAGCGAUUAAAUUUUAUUACGAGGAGAAAUCUGUUGUUACGGAAAAGAUUUAAGUUAUUCC